GAAAGACAAAGGCUGACUUGGGAGGUGAGAAAGGGAGGGGUGCGUGUCAUAAGCUGUAGAAGGAUAUAAAGCUAAUUGUUUUUCUACUUUGGUGGUAGUUUGGUUUGGAUGGUUAAAUGCAUAAAUACAUCCAACAGUGAUUAAAAACAGACGUGCUGAUUGUACUCUCGGUAACCCCUGAUGCAGUGGUGAUGCCCUUGUGCUUUUUCUGUUGCAGUGAGAGUAGCAUGUUUGUCUCCAAGAGACGUUUCAUUUUGAAGACAUGUGGUACCACCCUCUUACUGAAAGCACUGGUUCCCCUGUUGAAGCUUGCUAGGGACUACAGUGGGUUUGACUCGAUUCAAGUAAGUACGCAGACAUUGUGUAAACUGAGUAGUUCCGUUCUGAUGGAUUUUAAUGGUUUACCUCAAGGAAUGGAAUGUCAUUAAAAUCUCAGAAUUGGUUUCUUUGCACCUGUGGUUGGGAUUGAACCUAAGGCU
rnacentral:lncRNA from 1 species